rnacentral:rRNA from 1 species
AAGAAGGGUUCAUCAUAUACUUGGCAGAGUAUUGUUUUAGGCAUUCAAACUUUUAAGAGAGGAUGCAUUUGGCGUGUUGGAACUGGCUCCAAAGUAAACAUAUGGCAAGAUCCAUGGAUCCCAUGUAGUCCUUCACAACGAGUAAUCACUCCAAGGGGCAGGAUAAUGCUCACAGAAGUUGAAGAGUUGAUCGACCCGCAUACGGGGCAAUGGGAUGAAGCUUUGAUCUGCGACGUAUUAUCUUCAGUUGAUGUGUGGAGAAUUCUCGGUAUACCACUCAAUGUUCAGUUGACAGAGAAUUUUGUAUCCUGGAACUACACUCGUUCGGGCACAUUUUCUGUCAUGUCGGCUUACCAUAAAGAGUUUGAUCACCAGUUUGGUUCAAGAUGGACAAGAGAAGAUGGGCAAGGCAGCGUGACUUUAAAUAAUAUAUGGAAGGAUGUAUGUCGAUUACGAAUUCCAGGGAAGAUUAAACACUUCCUCUAGAAAGUAUUGCAUGGUGUUCUUCCCUGCUUUGGAGUGUUGGCUGGGCGCCAUAUCCCGUGCUCAUCACAAUGCCCGAUAUGCUCAAUCGGAGUGGAAGACGUGCAACAUUGCUUGUUCACAUGCCGAAGGACCAAAGAAAUUUGGUCGCAAUUGGGUUUGUUGGAUAAAGUUUAG